UGGGGAAUCUUAGACAAUGGGGGAAACCCUGAUCCAGCCAUGCCGCGUGAAUGAUGAAGGCCUUCGGGCUGUAAAGUUCUUUUGACGGGGACGAUGAUGACGGUACCCGUAGAAUAAGCUCCGGCUAACUUCGUGCCAGCAGCCGCGGUAAUACGAAGGGAGCUAGCGUUGUUCGGAAUUACUGGGCGUAAAGGGCGCGUAGGCGGUUUUAUAAGUCAGGUGUGAAAGCCCUGGGCUCAACUCAGGAACUGCGCUUGAUACUGUAAGACCUGAAUUUGGUAGAGGUAAGUGGAAUUCCCAGUGUAGAGGUGAAAUUCGUAGAGAUUGGGAAGAACAUCCGUGGCGAAGGC
rnacentral:rRNA from 1 species